GCCCUUUUCCGGUUGAUCCUGCCGGAGGACAUUGCUAUUGGGAUUCGAUUUAGCCAUGCUAGUCGGACGAGUUCAGACUCGUGGCGAAUAGCUCAGUAACACGUGGCCAAGCUACCCUUCAGACCGUGAUACCCUCGGGAAACUGAGGUCAAUAACGGAUACGGUAUCCAUGUUGGAAGACAGGAUACUCCAAACGCUUUCCGCGCUGAAGGAUGCGGCUGCGGCCGAUUAGGUAGACGGUGGGGUAACGGCCCACCGUGCCAAUAAUUGGUACGGGUCAUGAGAGUGAGAGCCCGGAGACGGAAUCUGAGACAAGACUCCGGGCCCUACGGGGCGCAGCAGGCGCGAAACCUUUACACUGCACGCACGUGCGAUAGGGGAAUCCCAAGUGCGAGGGCAUACUAGCCCUCGCUUUUGUGUACCCUAAGGCGGUACACGAAUAAGAGCUGGGCAAGACCGGUGCCAGCCGCCGCGGUAAUACCGGCAGCUCGAGUGAUGUCCAAUUUUAUUGGGCCUAAAGCGUCCGUAGCUGGCCAGCCAAGUUCGUCGGGAAAUCCACCUGCCCAACAGGUGGGCGUCCGGCGAAAACUGUCUGGCUUGGAACC
rnacentral:rRNA from 1 species